rnacentral:rRNA from 1 species
CCAGACUCCUACGGGAGGCAGCAGUGGGGAAUAUUGCACAAUGGGGGGAACCCUGAUGCAGCGAUGCCGCGUGGAGGAAGAAGGUUUUCGGAUUGUAAACUCCUUUUAUCAGGGACGAUAAUGACGGUACCUGAAGAAAAAGCUCCGGCUAACUACGUGCCAGCAGCCGCGGUAAUACGUAGGGGGCAAGCGUUAUCCGGAUUUACUGGGUGUAAAGGGAGCGUAGACGGCAGCGCAAGUCUGGAGGUAAAUGCCGGGGCCCAACCCCGGAACUGCUUUGGAAACUGUGCAGCUCGAGUGCAGGAGAGGUAAGCGGAAUUCCUAGUGUAGCGGUGAAAUGCGUAGAUAUUAGGAGGAACACCAGUGGCGAAGGCGGCUUACUGGACUGUAACUGACGUUGAGGCUCGAAAGCGUGGGGGGCAAACAGGAUUAGAUACCCUUGUAA